rnacentral:rRNA from 1 species
UAAGUGGCUAUUAAAUCGUGUGGCUCAACCAUAUCGCUGGUAGCCAAACUGACAAGCUUGAGUAUGUGAGGGGUCGCUGGGAUUCCUAGUGUAGGAGUGGAAUCCGUAGAUAUUAGGAGGAACACCAAUGGCGAAGGCAGGCGACUGGCACAUUACUGACGCUGAGGCUCGAAAGCGUGGGAGCGAACGGGAUUAGAUACCCCGGUAGUCCACGCCGUAAACUAUGGAUGCUA